GACGAACGCUGGCGGCGUGCUUAACACAUGCAAGUCGAACGGAAAGGCCCUGCUUUUGUGGGGUGCUCGAGUGGCGAACGGGUGAGUAACACGUGAGUAACCUGCCCCUGACUUUGGGAUAACUUCAGGAAACUGGGGCUAAUACCGGAUAGGAGCUCCUGCUGCAUGGUGGGGGUUGGAUAGUUUCGGCGGUUGGGGAUGGACUCGCGGCGUAUCAGCUUGUUGGUGGGGUAGUGGCUUACCAAGGCUUUGACGGGUAGCCGACCUGAGAGGGUGACCGGCCACAUUGGGACUGGGAUACGGCCCAGACUCCUACGGGAGGCAGCGGUGGGGAAUAUUGCACAAUGGGCGGAAGCCUGAUGCAGCAACGCCGCGUGCGGGAUGACGGCCUUCGGGUUGUAAUCCACUUUCGCCUGUGACGAAGCGUGAGUGACGGUAAUGGGUAAAGAAGCACCGGCUAACUACGUG
rnacentral:rRNA from 1 species